rnacentral:lncRNA from 1 species
GUCAGUUCUAAGUUCAGGUUCUGGCUUUGUGUCUUUCAGGCUGUGGGACAUUGGAAGCUAACCUGUGAUGGUUAGAUAGCUGGUUAAACGUUAUUUCUGCAUGUGUCUGUGAGGGCAUUUUGGGUGAGAUUAGCAUUUGAAUUGCUGGAGAGCAGAAAGCAGAGGGCUUUCACCAAUAUGGGUGGGGCUCAUCUGAUCUAUUCAUGAUGGGAACAAAACAGUGGCGGAGGGCGGAAUAACCAAACCUGUUUGAGCUGGGACAUGGACUUUCUGCCCUCAGCACUCCUGGUUCUCAGGCCUUCAGAUUCAGACUGGAUCCACACCAUCAGUUCUCCAGCUCUUGGGCCUUCGUGUUACACCACUGGCUUUCCUGGGUCUCCAGCUGGCACAUGCCAGAUCGUGGGAAUUCUCAGACACCAUAAUCACGUGCUUCAGUCAGGUGUCAGAAACUCAACCCUGCAGCCCUCAAGCCCCAGAGAUGAUGCCCUACACCUCUCAGCUCAACAUGGGGAGAGAAGACACAGGCAAAAGGCAGAGCAACUGUGCUUGUGCACAAAGGCCUCUCUUGUGGACUCUGAACCCCAAGUGAAUUCUUGGAGCAGAGACACCUGGCCUGGAUCCAGUCUGCCAGCACCUAUCAGGCGUCCUCCCUGUGGCAGGAGGGAGAGAGGCAACUGUGAAAACGAUGUCGAGGAACACUUAAGACCCAUCACAGGCAGGACUCGGGAGGCGUGCAGAGGAAGAGAGCAGUUUUCCACAGUCGACUGAGUCUUCAGAAUGCUUGUCCUCAAAUGUCCUGCCAAGAUAGACUGUUGGUAUGGACAUAACAUAGCCUUAAAACACAGUGACAAGACAGCCCUGGAGGAAGGGUGUGCCAGCGUAUGUGGGU